CCCAGGGGGCGCUCUCGCGGCGGGGAGCAGUUAGCUGGUAUCAGCAACCGCACCAAGCCUAGCAAAGAGAACAGUGUGGAGGUAUUCGCAGUCAUCCCAAAGAGCAUUAUCACCGCUUUCUUCAGAGGCUUAUCCUGCCUGUCUGACCUUAGAUCUCACCCCCUCUACUCUGUCUGUCCUGCUCAUGCAUCUGCCUCAUGAGGACAGAACUUGUCUGGUGUCUCCUCUAUGACCACAGUGCCUCAGUGCCUGACACACCAAAGGUUAAGCACCUUGUCCCAGGCUGCCUGGUUCACUAAAAACAACAAAAUCCAGUGGGCACAUGCUACACACCUGAUACCAGCCUGGAUGCUGGUGGAGAGCAAGACAAAACAGGACUCUGCCCUUGGAACCUGAAGUUGGAGGUCAUGAUUGCCAAGGAAGAACCAGGGAAGCUGUUUCUGCUCCCACUCCAAAACACAGUUAUAUUCUUACAUUACACACAGCAUGGAAAUGGCCUCUGCAGGCUCCUCUCUAUCACCCAGAGGGAAACUGGGCACCUUCCACAUCAGCCCGAGGGAGGAGCCCUGAGGCUCAGCCCGAAGACCCCCGGUAAUGACAUGAGACCCCUGACAGUGCUGUCCCCUCCGGACUCUGUGCUGAGAGGAGCCACAGAUGUCCCCCAAGUCCCGCUGUCUAAAAGCUCAUUGUGAAAAAGAACUGCCUAUCUGUGCUGAAGGAAGUACUGUGGAGAAGAGGCUAUGAGAGACAGCUGAAUGGAAAGGAAUCUGGGGCCUUGACAGAGACACAAGAUAGAAGGAGUGUGGGUCCCUCAACAACCAUCAGGAAGGAUGCCUGCUAACCAGGAGCAGCCCCACUGGAACUUUUCUCUCUGAGAAAUAAAAGUUUUCUUGAGUUGACUCACUG
ensembl:lncRNA